UGCGUAGGCGGCGCGGUAAGUCGGGUGUGAAAUCUCGGAGCUUAACUCCGAAACUGCAUUCGAUACUGCCGUGCUUGAGGACUGGAGAGGAGACUGGAAUUUACGGUGUAGCGGUGAAAUGCGUAGAUAUCGUAAGGAAGACCAGUGGCGAAGGCGGGUCUCUGGACAGUUCCUGACGCUGAGGCACGAAAGGGUCAGGGGAAGGGCAAAACG
rnacentral:rRNA from 1 species